rnacentral:rRNA from 1 species
AUUGAACGCUGGCGGCAGGCCUAACACAUGCAAGUCGAGCGAGCGGCGGACGGGUGAGUAAUGUAUGGGGACUGCCCGAUAGAGGGGGAUAACUACUGGAAACGGUGGCUAAUACCGCAUACUAUCGGAUAACCCAUAUGGGAUUAGCUAGGAGGAGGGGUAAAGGCUCACCUAGGCGACGGUCGAUAGCUGGUCUGAGAGGAUGAUCAGCCACACUGGGACUGAGACACGGCCCAAACUCCUACGGAGGCAGCAGUGGGGAAUAUUGCACAAUGGGCGCAAGCCUGAUGCAGCCAUGCCGCGUGUAUGAAGAAGGCCGUAGGGUUGUAAGGUACUUUCAGCGGGGAGGCGUUACCCGCACAAGAAGCACCUGCUAACUCCGUGCCAGCAGCCGCGGUAUUAC